rnacentral:lncRNA from 1 species
CUGCCAGCUCCUCCCUCGCACCCGUUCACUUACGAAUGGGCCCUGGUGGUCAGUCCCCUUUCCUUUCCCGUGACCGCUCGCGCGCCUUGAUCACUCAUUGACUCGUGGGACCGGGAUGUCGGUCGUCCUCUUCCCGGCGACGCGGUGGGGAUGAUGCAGCCGGGGAUCUCAGAAUUCCGUUGCAACAGACUCCGAAUCCACAUCCCUCUCCUCGGCUGGUGCGUUACUCCCAUCGGUAUAAGUCCCCAGACGCUCCUCCUCUCACCCGGGUGCGCAGGCCGAAACAACACAUGCCACCGUGAUCCAAGUUCGCCAUGGUGGAGAGAGAAAUGAUGCCGCCACCAUCGAUCUCCUCCGUGGGUAACUCCCCGACCUCGGGGGUGUUCUUAGCGCGUCGUGGGAUGCUGCCGCGCGUGCGCUUGACCUCGGCAGGCGGGGAUCGCAGCCGUGAGGUCGGUGAUUUUCCGCCGGUGUAGCAGCGCCGCCGCGAUGUGGAUGUGUGCCGUGGCAAACCUCUGCCACAGCGCCAGCUGAGGUAAUAAUCAUGCCGCAGUAUUCGCCUAGCUCUCCAGUUCGCGUCGCCCUGGUCAGCCGUGUGUUGGGAGUCUCGGACCGCCGGGCGGGACAUCGCCGGGGGGCGGCGCAUCCGUCCUUGCGUCACCGGAGGUAGGUGAUGAUAUCUGGGCGGUCGGAUCCGAGGGGGACGGACCGGAUUAGUUUGGGACGACAGGAACCCGAGUGAUGAACCAGGGCCGUUAGAUUGUGAUCCAGCGCGCGGAACCCGUGAUCGGUUCAAGUCCUUUUAGUUGCCGUUAGAUCAUGAUCUGGUGGUCGAGAAUUGAUACCGGUUCAAAUGGGGAAAAUCUAACCUGGAUCUUCAGAUUUUGAUCGGGUGGCUGAGAAAUGUCCAUACCCCUUCGGUCGGACCGUUUUACAGAAGAGUCUCUCAGUUCCUUUGAAACCGAGCUGCCGUUCAUUGCCUGUUAUAGAAUAAUUACGGUUCAGUCCUGUUUUUCACGAGUUAACCCCUGUGCUUUCCAGAAAUUGUGCCCGCAGCCCAGGUGUUAAAUAAAAGGGAUAAAAUAAUUCAGAAAAUGAUUUUAGUUUAAAAAUAAAUCAAGAAACUUGUUUAAUUCGUAUUAAAUCCAUUUUAACUCCAAAUUAAUUCAUUCCAAUUGCAUUAGAAUUGUAUUGAUAUUGUUUAUCAUCCAGUAACUUUAUUUUGUUAUGAAAUCUAAACUGAAAUUUUGUACUUAAUUUCUUUUGUACACCACUACUAAAUCUUUAGAAAUUCGUAACUUGAGAACCGUAACUCUGAUUUGAUCCAUUCAAAUUGUGUUAGCUUUAUAAAAAUAUUGUCUACGCAGUGGCAAUAUUAAUUGUACCAUAGAACAUAUUUUUAUAAUUAGAUAUUUGUUUAGCCUAUGUUCAGUAGAUUAUACCUUUUAACCAAAGUUAAACUAGACCAUGAUAGUGAUUUGACUAUAAUAUUAUUCCUAAACAAGUUAUAAUCUGGAUUAAAGUUUACUUAACUAGUUGGAGUAUAUUUUCUCAUAUGAUGUAUAUUAACCAAUUUAUAAUAUAGUUUAAUAUUUAAAUCACAUUUAUCUUCCAUAAAUCAUAACUCCUUAACCGUAACUCCGAAGUUAGUGAUUCACGAGCCCACGGUUUUGUAGUGACGCGUAGAUUAUUAUUACACAGUUUAUUCUUAUGUUUGGUGUGAUGUUAAUUUUGCCUAUACCAUGUUUGUUUGUAUUGCUACGACUAGCAGCGAGGUUACGAAUCACUUGAAGAGCAAGUUAGUACCUGGAAUCUCAAGUCCCAAGCAAGUUGUGCCCUUUGGUCACUUCUUUUUUUACCCACUCAUGUUCUUAUUAAUCAUAAUGAUCUACAUAGGUUAAUUUUGAUGGGACCCGACAAAUUACCCUAGUUUGACUAUCUUUAUACCUUGUUUACCACUGAAUUUUUGGGUAGUACCUGCUAUUGCUUUGUGUGGUUUUGGGUAUAGAGAUAUACAUUAUUCGUGAUCAUACUUUUAUUAUCAGUUUGUUAUAUAUUGUUCAUGAUAAGAUCAUUAUGUUGAUUAGAACAUGGAGAACCACCCGAGAAAACAGUGCUACCACAAGGGUGGUAUGGGACGCCCUUGGCUGACUAAUUAGGAAAGCUAGUGGAGGACUACCUUACCCGAAAGGGGCAAGGGGAGUAGGGAAGUGGUCAGUGUAGGGAGGCCAUUGGGUUGAUUUUGCUGCGAUGGCGGUCAGGCGAGGGGUCCCUGCAUUGGAGCUUCAUAGAAACUGUAGCGGGUUUUCUGAAGCUAGUGGAACUUUGUAAAGGCCUCGUAGUGUUACCUUGUGUCGCCUCCUCGGUAGAGGUGUAUAGGAAGUCACGAUCCCUUGGCAGAUGGGUAACAUGACUUGUGGGUAAAGAUGUGCAACCUCUGCAGAGUGUAAAACUGGUAUAUCAGUCGUGCUCACAGUCAUGAGUAGCUCGGACACUCACAUGAUUAAUUUAUGGAACUAAAUUCAAUUUGUCAUAUGCAUUGCAUCGCAGGUGUUGUUAUCACUUUUGUUCUACUACUUAAUUGGGUUGGUAUUCACUUAUACUUAGUAAUUGCUAAUAAAAUUUUGACCAACUUUAAAAGCAAUGCUCAGUUUCAACCAUCCUCUUUGGUAAGCCUUACACUUCACGUGAGCUCUCACCUUUGGUGAGUUCAUGCACAUUAUUCCCCACAACUUGUUGAGCGAUGAACGUAUGUGAGCUCACUCUUGCUGUCUCACACCCCCACAGGUCAAGAACAGGUACCGCAGGAUGAGGCGCAUGGAGGAUGCUGUGACGAGUUCAUGAGAGGUCUAGGCCGACCAGUCAACUUUGGGUUGCUGGAUCGUUGUCUCCUUAUGAUGUAUUUAUUUAUUUAUUUUGUAUAGAACUCAUACUACAUAGUAAAGAUGUGACAUUCGUUUCUGUACCACUAUUCAUCAUAUGUGUGAGACUUGGUCCCAGCACACCU